AUUCGGUAUAUUCGUUCGCGGAAUAUUUUGAAAUCCAACCGAAGUAUCGAUGGAAGAAUGUACUAUAAGGAUAAUGUCUUUGGCAAGCUGAACAUACCUAAACCUCAGUCUACCACAUCUGAGAGAUGAACAAGCUUUUUUGGAAAGUGGAGUUGAAGGUUGCUGGGUCGUAAGCUGAAGCUCAUCCCACAGCCAGCAGAAAACGCCUGCGGUCAUGACUUUGAGAUCAGAACAGAUUACAGCUCCACAACCAUCACACAGUACGAGACACAGAUACAGAACCCUCUGAACAACAUGAUGGUAGAUGUGGAGGACGAAUACAGCAGACUCACCAAUGUGAAGUGGAGUUUGGAAGAGACUGUUGAACAGGUGAAGUCCAACACCUUUGAUAAGGAGAAUGGAGAAAACAUCAAGCAUCUAAAGGAACAAAUUCGCAGAGUCGAUCAACGGCUAAAGUCGACGAGAAGUAGGCAGCUAAGGUGGACUCUGCUGAAACUCACAAUAAGCGUUUGGAAAAGAACAUGACGCAGGGAUGUGAGGAAGCCGAGGAGGAACUCAAAGCUGCCCAACAACAGUAUCACGUGGUCAUUCAGGAGACUGGUGUCCGCAUGGUGUCCAAGAACCUGACUGAUGUCCUCAAUUCCUCAGCAGUGCAGUUGAAGUAUGUGAUGGUUUUGCUCGCAACUUCUUGACUUCAUAUGUGCUACAUGAGCUGGAAGAUUUUGAACACCGAGACAUGCUCGUAUAAAAUUCAAGGCAUUGAUUUUUGCCUACAAAACUACCACUGGCUCUG